rnacentral:lncRNA from 1 species
AGGCCCCUCCCUAAGCCCUGGAGCCUUCCCAAGCAAUGUCUUCCUCACCUCCUCCCCAGCCCCAAGUGGCACUGAGUUGGGAGUCUACGAAGCAGCAGUUGCUCCUGGUCCUGCCCAGGGACACCAGGGUCCCACUGAAGUCACACAGCAAGUCAGGACCACGCUGGGACAGGGACCAGGUCUCCACAGCCUGGGUGGGUCCAGGCCAGGAAGAGGCCCCCACCAGACCAAACCACACAGCCACCCUGGACCCCAGCUCCCAGAAGCACGGGGAAACAAACAUCCGUUGCCUAAACCCCAGGCUGACAUCUUGUCACAGUAGCCAGAGUGGACUCAGGUCCACAGCGGAGUCGAGGAAGGCUUCCUGCAGAGCCAAUGUGGCCAUCCUUGGGGGAGCCAGGCCGGGCCAACCCCUCUCCCACCACACAGCAGCCUGGCUGCAAAUGCGGGAAGCUUCUUGGGGACUUCAUGGCUCCACUGCAGGCACAGAGGCCAGCCUGGAUGAGAGACCAGGCACCCUCCGCAGUCCAGCCAGGGCCCUGGAGCAGGGCAAAGAGGCAGAAAGAUCACGGGUACUGAGCCCCAGAUUUCCGCUGCCCCUGCUGCCCUGGCAGAGGAAACAGAGAACAAGGCCCCCACCCACCCAGCUCCCACCCUGGGGGCAGCUUGGAAGUGGGGAUCUCGGCCAGGCUCUGAAUGACAGAAACCAUCAGGACAUGGAAAAACAAGACCUAUAAAGAAAUACACAUUUUAUACAUCAGUUUAAUUAAAGUACAUUAAAAUGAGUUUGCUUAAAUAAAAAAAAAAAUUA